GGUUAUGAGAUACUGAGGUUAAGAGAGCAAAUGCCAUUCUUUGCCAUUUCUGUAUUCUGAACAUUUAUAGGCUCCACACUCACCACAGAGGCCAACUCGGGGCUUAAACUCUCGACCCUGAGAUCAAGACCCCAGCUGAGAUCAAGAGUUGGAUGCUCAACCGACUGAGCCACCCAGGCACCCCUCGAUUUCACAUUUCUAAAAUUAUGCUUUUAAAUGGACUAACACUCCUAUAUAGUCAUAGCUCAUGAGCCUAUAAAAACACAAACAGGCAUUACAUAAUCCUGAAACACCUCACUUAUCUGAAGGCCAGACUGCUUUCUGGAAAAGUUGGGGAUCUAUACGUAAGUGAAAAGGCUCCUGGAGUUGUCUAAAGGGCUGAUCAAAAGCCCAUACAUUUUCAUAAGGGAGGUCCUCUGGCUAUUGCUCAGAGGUGACUUACUCUUGUUCACAAAGAAUUCUAACAAAAUUCAUUAUCUGGGAAAUGUUUCACACACCAGCUAGAUCUUCAAGGAUAAGCAGGAGUUCAUCCGACAGAGAAGCUGGGAAAAGGCCCCUUCCCUGCCUUUCCCAUGUCUCCAAAUUCCUCACUAUAUGCAAAUAUAGGCAAGCAUCUCCUCUGCAGGGGAAGAAACAUGUUCUCUUCUAUCCUUCUAAAUUCUGUAGCUGGCCUAAGAAUUAAACUGACAUAACACAGAUUAACAGGAGAAAAAAAGCCGAUUUUAAUAACACAUGCAUGUAUGAAAGCCCCAAAAGAUGUAAGAAAGAUAGGAGACUCAGAAGGCAGCCAAAUGAUUGAGGCUUAUAUACCACCCUGAGCUGAGGAAAGGGAUAGGGGCCUGGGCCUUCCAAUGGGGCGAAGGCAAUUCACUGGAAGCCAGAAGAGGAUGUUUGGUGUGCACCAAGGUUGCUCUGCCAGCCGCUGAGUCUCUGAGGUGAAAAAGUGAUCUCCCAUCACAGCUCUCUCUCCAGUACAGGCCCCCUUUCUAAUGUAAAUUUUCCUUACAAAAGGGUAACUUCUCUGAUUUUAGAGCUUCUCCUGUGUCUGCAGUUUCUCCAAAUAAUCAGCCCCAAAUAAUCCUGAUGCCAGAGGCUUAUUUUGGGGUGGCAUAUUCUGUACUCUUCUCCCCUCUUUAGAAUAAUUUUUUUUUUCCAUUUGUCAACUGCUGUACUUCCCCUCCAUGUGUUGAAUAGCACCUGAUACAUGGAUGGGCUCAACACAUUCUUGCUGAGUUAACUACUCAUCAAAGUCAACUAUGAGUUCUGCAGUAAAACCCGAUUAACACUUCCCAACGUUGUAUACAACCUUUGCUGUGGCAACUCUCCUGAGUUUCCUAGCCAAAACCUUCUCUGUCUCUUUCAUGGCUUUCCAUUCCAAUAUUCAUCAAGUAAAUGCCGAUGUUCCCCAA